UACGUAGGGUGCGAGCGUUGUCCGGAAUUAUUGGGCGUAAAGAGCUCGUAGGCGGCUUAGCAAGUCGGGUGUGAAAACUCCAGGCUCAACCUGGAGACGCCACUCGAGACUGCUAUGGCUAGAGUCCGGUAGGGGACCACGGAAUUCCUGGUGUAGCGGUGAAAUGCGCAGAUAUCGGAAGGAACAUCAGUGGCGAAAGCGGCUUCCUGGACCAGUACCGACGUUCAGGCACGAAAGCGUGGGGAGCAAACAGG
rnacentral:rRNA from 1 species